CUUUAUGGCGGGCGGUGCGUGGGGGCCUUCGGGCCCGCCGGGCACUGACAACUAACGUCCGGUUUGCAGCCACGCAUCGUCCGCCACCCCG
rnacentral:antisense_RNA from 1 species